AGAGGAGGAGGAGGAAGAGGAGGAGGAAGAGGGGGGAAGAAGAGGAAGAACAGGAAGAGGAGGAGGAGGAAGAAAUCAAGCCAGGAGCAGUGGUACACACCUGUGAUCUAGGGAGGCUAAAACAAGAGGACCAUAAGUUUGAGGCCAGUUUGGGCGAUCAAGUUCCAGGCCAGCCUGGGUAAAAAGUCUCACAAAACCAAAAUAAAAGUUUCUGUAUAUUCGGUACACCUGCAAAUUUUCCCUGAAUAUUUCCAAUCGACCUGUGAUUGAGUUCCUUGCUGUAGAAACUGUGGGUAUAGUUUCUGUGGUCUGUGCCCACGUGGUGUGCUCACUGAGGGGAUGAGGAACAGAACUCAGUGAGGACCAAGGAGUGUCCCCAAGGGACAGGGAGAAGGAGCACAGUACCUCUUUGCCAGCUGCACCAUCCGAACCAGGUUCACCCUAGGAAGCAGAAAGCAUUAGAAACAUGAUGAGCUGUCACCCAACACAGCCUCUCAGGCCACACACCCUGCCCUACUCUCGGUGGCGCCACCAGAGGAGCCCUGAUCCUGCAGUUCCCACCCCCAUCCCCAGCCCCGCCUGCCUGAGUUAGAGCAAGGUGCCUUUUCUUGAGAAAUCUAUGCAUUUCCUGGCUCUGAGUGCGUUAAAUGUUUGUUGAAGGACCACAUGAACUGUGGGCCUCUGUCCUCAGUGAGACUGGCCAGGACAAGCUGGCCUUCCCUCCUUCCUUUCUUCCUUCCCCUCUUCUUCCCUUCUUCUUCCCUUCCCUUCCCUUCCCUUCCCUUCCCUUCCCUUCCCUUCCCUUCCCUUCCCUUCCCUUCCCUUCCCUUCCCUUCCCUUCCCUUCCCCAUGACACCACAACAGAAGCUGUCCAGUCCUGAGCCCUGGCCCAGGACUUUCUGAUGGGCUUCUAGAGAAGAGAAAUCUGGACAAGGGGUAGCCACAUCUAGGGCCUUGGCAGCUCCUGAGUCUGCAGAGGGAGAGGAAGCCUGGAAGGGAGAGCAUCCUCAGGGACUGUGAUGACUUGUACAUGCUUGGCCCAAGGGAGUGGCACUACUAGGAGGUGUGGCCCUGUUGGAGUAGGUGUGUCACUGUGGGUGUGGGCUUUAAGACCCUCAUCCUAGUUGCCUGGAGGUCAGUAUCCUGCUCGCAGCCUUCAGAUGAAGAUGUAGAACUCUCAGCUCUGCCUGCACCAGGCCUGCCUGGAUGCUGCCAAGUUCCUGCCUUGGUGAUAAUGGACUGAACCUCUGAGCCUUACUUUGAAUGUUCCCAAAUGCCUCCUGAACACCAUACAGCCCUGCUAUACUAGCACACAGCGGACUCGCUUUCUCCGGAGCCCUAUCAGCUUGGAGCCGUCACACUGUCACUGGGAGGUCCUGUGGGACAAGGACCCUUGACUCUCUGGCUCUGUGCUCUGGCCCUGGUUUGGAGCAGAUGUUGACCGCUAAUUACUGACUGACUGACUUGUGUCUGUCGCCUUCUCUGCAAGAAGCCUGCUGGGAUCUCCUCACAGCCUCCGCCUCCACAGCCACAGCCACCAGCCUGUGCAGAGCCCCAGCUGGAGUGACUCGGGCAGGGGCAGCAGGGGUCGCGGGCUCCUCCUCGUGGGAAGAUCUCCAGUCCAGUUGAUGAAGGGCCAGCAUAUCCUCUUUCUCCCUUGAUGCCCUGAGGAGCAACAGCAGAAUUAGCUCUGUGGCUGCCUUUGGUGGUGUUAAUGCAAGACAUGGGGCUGAGGCCGGUACCCAGACUGGCACCUGAAGGCUGAGGGCACCAAAACAGGGGACUAGAGAGAAGAGACGGUGGCCAGUAGAGCCUCCCACCUGCCACUGUGGCCGAUGCUGGAAAGUGGGACACACCCACCCUGAGGCUUUUGCAAGGGUGUCUCCCUCUCUCUCCCAAAACCCCCUGGGAAGCAAAUCUCAGUUCUUCCCAAACCUGGGACUCAAAGUGUGUUCCGAGAGUGUCUCCGUCCUUCCCUCCAUCAAAAUGGUGGGGGCAGCCAUAUUACCAAAGGAGCCAAAGUGGGGUAAGGGUCUACAUGGAUGGCCUGGCAGAGACUGUAUGUUCUUCAGGAACCCAGUUGAGGGGCACCCUGCUUGGCCCUGUCCUCGCCACCAGUCAUUCCCUGCUCUCCUCCUGUACCCCCAGAACCAGAGCUCUCUUACUCACAGGCAGUCCUGGGGGACCCAUGGCACCCGGGUAGCCAGGCUGUCCUGGGGGACCCUACAAAGAAAGAAAGACAUGAUGAUGGGCCAGCCCUCAGCAGUUCUGUGACCCAAGCCAGAACACCUGGCUCUGCCGUCCAACAGGUGCCCGCCCACCUGUGCACAGUUCCCACUCUGGGCCAUUUCCCAAACCCAGGUCCUCUCCACUAGGUGACAAGCCCCAGGCUCACCGGAGCCCUGGGAGCAGAGCAGAAAAAGAAGCUCAGAGUGAGGUGGGGAGGAGCAGGCAUACAUAGAGGGCUCACCAGCGCUACGGGCUGAGGGAAGGAGAGGUUCCUGGGCAAUGGGAUACAGGAACUGGAGCUGUAUGUGCUCCUCCCAGGGUGUAGCGGUGUACGGACACCCAGUUUCUCAGAUCCAAGGGCUGUGAAGCCCUUUCUUUUGUAGCCCUCAGCCCUUCUAGAUUGGGGCUGAGGAUUUCAAAAGAAGGCACCUCCCUACUUCUACUCAGUGGCCGCCCCUCAAGCUAACUCCACCAGGCUCCUCUUCUUACCGGUUCUCCCUUGUCUCCAGUCAGGCCUGUGGGGCCUCGCUCCCCUUGAAGACCCUUAGAGAGAGAAACCAUGAGAAACCGCAGAGGAGGUUAAUCCCUACCUAGCCCAGGCUCUUCCCUGCCAUGUGCCUCUCUUUCCAUUCUGCACGAAGGUCACAAGUGGCAACCAGUGCCCCUGGCAGAGUGACUGUCUGUGGUGUACCCAGGGUACAGUCCAAACAUAUGGAUGCCUCUCAGGGGCAUGGCUUCCAGAGAGGCAGCAGCAGAGACACACAAUUCCAGUGAGCAGCAGACAGGGUACCCCUGUCACCAACGCUGCUGUGUCCCACUGUGGAGGCCGUCUGGGAUGCACCUUUAGGGACAUGCGUGCUCCUUCGGGUGGCCAUCAGGAUAGGUGUCCCCGCAAAGGAUGUUCUGUGUCACCAUGUCACUUACCUGUCCCAGUUCCCACCCAAGUGCAAAUCACCAUCUUUAGGGAUACAAGGGACAGGCACAAGAGGGCUCUCUCCAGAACAAUUCCAUGUCACUCAGUAACAGGGAAUGGGGACAUGGGUUUCGAUCAAAGCCCCUCAUUCCUCGCCCUGACCUCCACAGCUCCCACACUGAAGACAUCUCGGCCACCCCCUUCUCCCUCGUACCUGCUAGAAGUGCUACCCAAACCUCUCCAUGACACAAGACAGAUGGCUAGACAGACAGAUGGCCCCUUCACCCAAGCAAGCAGAAACAGACAUGGUCCGGCCAGGGAUGAAGACGUGGGAACAGAUGGAAAUGUGACAAAGGCAGGGGGCGGGGAUGCCUGGCCCCUGGCCUCAACCACCACUCCUGGGAGGGCAGGAGGCAGCCCGGGAAACACAAAUCCAACAAACAAGGGGUUUAGCUUCCAUGACCCAGGAGAGAGCAACAAUGAGGAUGGGGAGGGGGUUUAUGAUUUAAACACACCUGUGACAAUGACUGUGACAAGACAGAGCAGUUAACGACACCUGGCAGAAGGAUCAGCCUGAGGCCUUAGGCACAGUGGGGCAGGGCCCUAACACCAGAAACCCAGCAGGCUGGCACCACAUGCCCAGCCUUGGAGCAGACUCGGCAUGGAGCCAAGGAAGAGGGACGAAGAGGAGGCCCUGGGUUUCCUCUCGCUGCAGGGAAGGGUGCACACAGAGCUGCCCGUGAAUCCCCAGAGCGCCUCUGGACAGCCCUACCAGGCAGCAGGGCGGCUGACCUGUGCCAGCCUGCAGUGCGAAGCCCUAAAGCUUUGGCGUCUCUGCUGGGCACAGAGCCAGGUGCCUGGCAGGGCCCCAAGGACUACUUUCAGCAAAUCUUCAAUCCACACAGCGUGGUGGGAAGCAGGAGGCAGGAGCGAGACGGGAGAGAUAAAGUGGCUCCCUUUCUAGAGGCACCAACUUCCAGCCAGAAGGCUGAGUUCAGUUCCUGCGUUUGACCUUUUGUGGAGCCCUAGAUCACAAAGCCAACAUGUAAGAUGUUAGAAGUGUGAUCCAUCUGGGGUUGGAGUCACGCCAUCACUGCCUGGAGGGCAGGACCCUGAGACCAGGAGAGAAGAGCUGGAGUCUCCUUCCCACAACCUCACUGUGCCACAGCUCAGGGCUGCUGCUAGGUUAACCCAACCACCUCCACCAGUGGCUUCUGGAAACACCCAUGGUUCAAAGAGGGGCAGGGCAGGCAGCCCUUAUACUGUGCCCUGACCAAAGCUCAGUGGAGUGACAUAUUGUCUACGACUCUGACAAGCCUGUGCCCAAGAGAGCCGUUAGAGGAGGAUUCAUGGGCAAAGGUAUCCUGAGGGUGCUGUGCUCUUGAGAGAGCCCCAGGAACUUGAAGUCAGCCUGCAGGAAUGAAUGGCCCAGCUCAUGUCAUUUCUGGAGGUGCCUAAGAAAGGGCAAGAGGAGGCUCUACAGGAAGCUUGGGGCUCCUGAGAACUCAGUCAGCCAGACCAGACCACAGCCCUUUAGCAGGACUACAGUUCGACUCUCCUCGGCGGCUGGGCAUUUGUGGCCUUCCUUUAAGCAUUCGUUCAGCAAAGGUUGCCUAGAGGAUUCCAGCCAGGCCCUCUUAGACAGCUGCUUAGAAAGCACUUUCCCCCACAGCGAGGGACGAGAGACAGCAGGCUCAGCCUGCUACUGGUGGUGGCAGACAACUGAGCACCUGCUGUGGGAAUCCCCUUUGGUGACACCUGCCAGAGGCCUCUCUGUGCCCUCUUACCUUGAGGAGAUGCUGCUCGAUGGGUAAGGAUCCCUGCAAGAGACAGAAGCAGGUUCUAGCUGGUCAGGAGGGGAAGCUCAUACGGCGUAGAGGAGCAGCCAGCCUCAAGAUCCGGGAGUGAAGGAGGACACCCCCCACCCCCAGCGCCUGGCCAGCUCAUCCCCGGGAAGGACAAGAAGGACGAUGGCCAGUGCGUCCUGGCUGAUACCCACCAGCUCGGCAGUGAGCCCAGGCUGUCCUGGCAAACCGUUGUGUCCAGGCACUCCCUGAGGCAGAAAAGAAACAAGAGAUCGGACUCUUCUUCCAGCCUAGUGAUCUCCUUGCUGGGGCUCACAGCCCUGCCACCUGUCACAGGCUCUUGCAUGGGUGGCAGCUCUGGCUACCCUCAGCCUCAAGGUCUCCCACGGCUGGGGACUGCGGGGAGCCAAGGAGGCACAGAGUAGUUCCCCUACUCAAAAGUAGUUCCUCUGGGAGCAUUUCCUUGUGCGGCAGGUCAGAAGCUGGGCAGAGGGUCUUCUAUAGGGUGACUGCUGUGGGCUAUCCUAAGUCACUUCCCCAUACUCUCUCAUUAAUCACCAUCGGAGUUUACUGGAAAUGAAGGGCCUGGGAGAAGCUCGUAGGUUGAGUGAGACAUAUGAGAGUCCGAGAGAGGGCCACCGGCUCCCAACCUCCUUUGUCCACUAAGCGUGCCCCAUCCCUUAAAGGUGUCCCGGCAGUAUUGGAUGCUUGCCAACUGAACCAUCUAGGUGCAAGUCCUCACCACCCUCUGUGCCUCCGUUUCCUUCUCUGUAAGACAGUCAUCAUGUACAGACGGCUUCAGGAGACCGUGCUGUGAGAGACACAGCACAGCCCAGAGGUAGGAUGUACCGGGACUCUCCUGCUAAGGGUUUGCCACCCAGCCUCUGGCUCUCUUGCAUGUUCACAACGCACAUUUGCAUAUUAGAUACUCUGCUGAUGCAGGGAAGGCGUUCGAUUUCGAAUCCCUAGCACCCCAUGAGGAGCAGCAGCACAUUAGAUAUGUGUUGAAUGAACGCAUCGCUGCCCAGCCUGCUCUUCCUGGGACGGGAUUUCCUGGGCCUGCUCUGAGAUCUGACCUCCCCUUCAAGACCCAGCUUCCGGCACUGGAACAGGUCAGCUGCCCCUGAGUAGCCCCCCCUCCUAUCCACUGCAGGUGCUUCCACUGCGGGGUCACCGCCCAGCCUCCUCUAGUCCACAGUACCUGACAUGUGGGUAAUGCUUGGAAUAUUUUUGUUCAGAUAAUUGGUCUCAUGCACGCCUUACACUCACUAUGUAGCUGAGGACGGUUUUGAACUUCCGAUCCCACUGCCUGUACUGCCUGAGGGCUGGGAUUACAGGCAUGUGCCACCUCGAUCAUUUUAUGGGGCACUGGGGAUCCAACCCAGGGCUUCUUGUAUACUAGACAAGCAUCCGGCCAACCGAGCCACACCCCAGCAGUUACUACACCGCUCCACUCUCGGUGCUGCGCUGCUGGCUCCAGCCUGAGGGUGUGAUCCUUUCUUAGCCUGAUAGAAUUACAUAUCCAUGUUCUCCUGUACAAGUAGGGUAUGCAGCCGAGUUUGACUGCUACCUGCCAGUUAUUAAAGAUCUUGGGCACAUUUU